rnacentral:lncRNA from 1 species
ACAAAUUCUUCCUCUUAUACUACAGCAAUAUCUUCUUACCAUGCCCUCUUUCAACUGCUUCAUCCUUGCUUUCUUUAUCUUUUUGUCAUUUUUAAGCAUGGAUGUCAGCAUAGCAGCUCGCAAUCUUCUGCAAUUUCCACCUUUGCCUUCGGUGCCAAAUUUGCCAAAGCUUGCAAUGCCACCAAUCCCUGCUAUUCCAACUCUCCCACAGCCGUCAAUACCAACCUUGCCAACCACUCAACUUUCCCUGCCCAACCCCACUUUGCCUCCACUUCCGAGCUUGCCCACGAUGCCUGCUGCCCCAAAGGUCACCCUGCCGCCAAUGCCAAGCAUCCCCUCAAUCCCCAGUAUCCCAACUACAAUUCCCUCAAUCCCAUUCCUUUCCCCGCCACCAUCUGGAAACUAAAUCUUCAUUUCAUGCAUUUGACCAUUGCUUUAUUAGAAGAGUCUACAUCUUUUAGCUGCAUGCGUGUGUGAAGUCAUUUGAGCCCUUCACUUGUUUUUCGCCCCUUUUAGUUUCUACUUUCAUCUUAUUAUUAUUGUUGACUGUUUUAUUCAUGGAUGUACUGAAUUUGUGAUGACAUAAUUAUAUUAUCAUGAUUUGUUGCUUCAUAUUAAUUAUUGUGUUUAUUAAUUAAUAGUUUGUUUAAUUUCCAUCUUCUUCCAAUAUAUAAGCAUGGUGAAAUUAACAUGACUUACUUUCUAAAUAAUUUAAUUUUAACGAAAAAUUUAAUUUGUAAUAAAAAAAAUCACUUGAUUUCACAUAAACAAAGCAAGAUUUUUAUAUUUAAUACCAUUAAUAAAUGCUGUUAUGUCACUUAACAAUUAAUUAAAAAUAAUUUUUAAUUAAGAUAAAUUAUAUUUUAAUUUUAAAUCCUUAUAAAAUAUAUAAUUUAGUUCAUAUAUUUAUAAACUUAGUUAUAAAAUUAUGUUUUAUAAGCAUUCUAAGGUUUAACCUGGUGGAAAGUGCAUCCUGUAGCCUUGAAAGGUCUAAGGUUCGACUCCCCCAACCCUCUAUUUCAAAAAAAAAAGUUAUGUUUUAUAAACAUAAAAUAAUUCCUUUAGUUAUAAUUCAUCCCAAUAUGCUUAUAUGUUGGUACUUAUAUAUUAUAAUUAUUUAUAAAUAAGUAUUUACAUACUUUUUUAAAUUAUCCUCACAUAUUUAUUAAAUUUAAUAUUUUAAAAUAAAUUAAUAAAAUAAAAAUUAAAUCAAGAACCUUAACACAAUAUACAUCUAAAUUUAAGUUCAAAGAGUUAUUUCUAGUCUAAUAUUUCCCUUCUCAAUGAUUUUUUUAUAUUAAUUAGGAUAAAAAGGAGAUAUCAGAUUUUUUUAUUUUAUGUUUAUUUUAUUGUGUUUAACCAGUAUGAUAUUAAAAUUCAAUAAACAGAGAGAUUAAUUUAUAAAUAUAAAAAUUUAUUAAUAAUUAUAAUAUUUAAAAUCAAUCUAUAAAAAUAUAGAUAUUAAUUUUAAUUAAAAAUAUUAAGUUUAAAUUAAGUAAUUAUUUUAUUAAUCAACAAAUUAAAUUUAAUAUAUUAAAUUUAAAAAUAUAAUGACUAAAAUAUAACUUUUAUUAAAUAUCAGAAAGUAAAUCAUAAUUUACCAGUAUAUUUAACGAUAUUAGAAAAAAAAAUCUCAUUUUGCUAACGGGAUAAAAAUACUAUGAUCCUUUUUAUUAUAAAUUAAAGUAUAAGACUCUACUUGAAAAUAUGCUAAAUCACAAUGUAGUUUUUUAUAAUUACUCCUUAAAAAAAAUGACACUAUAAAAAUUUACCAAAUUAUAAAGAGAAUUCACAUAUAAAUAUAAAUUCAUUUGUAAUUGUAAUAAAUUUAUAAAUAGAGGUUAGAAAAAUAUUUUCUUUAUAAAACAUAUUUAAAAUUCAUUUGUAUUAAUUUAAUUUUACAAACGGGUUACAAGUCUAUUUAAAAAUUUAUUUAUAUUUAUUUAAUCUUAUAAACGGAUUAUAUUUCUCAUUAUUAAUUCGUUUAUAUUCAUUUAAUUUUACACGUUUAUUUAUAUCUAUUUAAUUUUGUUGGCUUGAAACUUUUUGGUGGAUAACCCACUUAAUACUUUUGUUGAUCAUCAUAUAACUUUGAUAGUUACAGUAAUAUCUAUCCACCCCACAACUUCGCUUGCUAAGCUAUAAGCGGAAAACUUACGAGAUGGUGAACUAUCUUGUUAGUUAUGGUCGUGACUAUAUAACUUUUAAUAAAAUAUAAAUGUAAGUAAAAUAUCGAUACAUUAAAAGAAUAUGUCAAAAAAUAUCCAGUGCUAAAUAAGGUAAAAAAAAUUUUCUUUUUUUCAUCACAAUCUUUCCUUUUCCUUUCCUUCUCUCUUCUCUGCAAUUUUGUUAUGAGAUAAACUUUUAUCAUCAAAUUUUCAAAUCUAAUUUACACAUCGACCAGUUUUCACCAAAAAUAUUUUUAGUAAACCUUUGGCCCUUUCCUUUAUUUGUUUUAUUUUUAUUGUAUGCAGACACUUUUACGUGAUACAACGGUUUCACCGUAUAAUUUCUUUCAUCGAUGACUCUCCUGAAUCCAAACCGACAACAAAUUAUUCCUCUUUUAUUGCAUCCAAUGUCUUCUUAACUAUAGCCUCUUUCAACAGCUUCAUCCUUGUUUCCUUUAUCUCUUUUAUCAUUUUUAAGCAUGGAUGUUAGCUUAGCAGCUCGAAAUCUUCUACAAUUACCACUUUUGCCUUCUGUGCCAAAAAUUUGCCAAAGCCUGCAGUGCCACCAAUCCCUUCCAUUCCAACUCCCACUGCCGUCAUUAUCAACCUUGCCAGCAGCUUGCCAGCAUUUUGGUGAUGCAAAUUAUUGGCCAGCCAGCGUAAUCUCAUCUGGCCAGCAGCUCACAUACAUGCCUGGCUCCAAUUUCCGCAGCCACUUGCGAAGAAAUUUUGGCUUACUUUCUAAAUAAGUUAAUUAUUCUCUUUCCAAUUGAUUUAUAUAAUAUAUAAGUUCCAUAAACGAAUAAAACAUAAUAUUUACAUUUAUCUAAAUCUGAAUUCUUAAUGUUAAAUUUUUUUAAUUCCAUAAUCCAAUAAAUAAAUGAGAUUUUUUUUUUUCAAUAAUAAAACAUAUAUGGAGAGACACUUUUUCAAUAUUUUUUUCGCAAGUUAACAAGAAAAAUAAGCUGCACAAUGACACUAGGUCGUUGAUUCAGCCUUUAAAACUCUUUGGUAGAUAACCCACCAAUUAGAUCACAAGAGCAUCCACAACCACUCUUUCUAACCUAUAAGUGGAAGACUCACGAGAUGGUGAGCUACCUUGUUAGUUAUGGUCCUCGCACAUCACCUCCAUUAAUGACUAUCAUGAUAAUUCUUCAGCUAUAUAAGCCCAUCCAUAACGCAGCUUGUUUCUCAUCCAAACCCACAACAAAUUGUUCCUCUUGUACUACAGCAACAUCUUCUUAACCAUGGCCUCUUUCAACUGCUUCAUUCUUGCUUUCUUCAUCUCUUUGGCAUUUUUAAGCAUGGAUGUCAGCAUAGCAGCUCGCAAUCUUCUGCAAUUGCCACCUUUACCUUCGGUGCCAAAUUUGCCAAAGCUUGCAAUGCCACCAAUCCCUGCUAUUCCAACUCUCCCACAGCCGUCAAUACCAACCUUGCCAACCACUCAACCUUCCCUGCCCAACCCCACUUUGCCUCCACUUCCGAGCUUGCCCACGAUGCCUGCUGCCCCAAAGGUCACCCUGCCUCCAAUGCCAAGCAUACCCUCAAUCCCCAGUAUCCCAACUACAAUUCCCUCAAUCCCAUUCCUUUCCCCACCACCAGCUGGAAACUAAACCUUCAUUUCAUGCAUUUGGCCAUUGCUUUAUUACAAGAAGUCUACGUCCUUUUAGCUGCAUGCGUGUGUGGAGAGUUAUUUUAGCCCUUCACUUGUUUUUCGCCCUUUUUAGUUUCUACUUUCAUCUUAUUAUUACUGUUGACUGUUUUAUUCAUGGAUGUACUGAGU